rnacentral:rRNA from 1 species
GAUUUAUUGGGCGUAAAGGGAGCGCAGGCGGUCAGGAAANUCUGGAGUAAAAGGCUAUGGCUCAACCAUAGUGUGNUCUGGAAACUGUCAGACUUGAGUGCAGAAGGGGAGAGUGGAAUUCCAUGUGUAGCGGUGAAAUGCGUAGAUAUAUGGAGGAACACCAGUGGCGAAAGCGGCUCUCUGGUCUGUCACUGACGCUGAGGCUCGAAAGCGUGGGUAGCGAACAGGAUUAGAUACCCUGGUAGUCCACGCCGUAAACGAUGAGUGCUAGGUGUUAGGCCCUUUCCGGGGCUUAGUGCCGGAGCUAACGCAAUAAGCACUCCGCCUGGGGAGUACGACCGCAAGGUUGAAACUCAAAGGAAUUGACGGGGGCCCGCACAAGCGGUGGAGCAUGUGGUUUAAUUCGAAGCAACGCGAAGAACCUUACCAGGUCUUGACAUCCCGAUGCUAUUCUUAGAGAUAGGAAGUUACUUCGGUACAUCGGAGACAGGUGGUGCAUGGUUGUCGUCAGCUCGUGUCGUGAGAUGUUGGGUUAAGUCCCGCAACGAGCGCAACCCUUAUUGUUAGUUGCCAUCAUUAAGUUGGGCACUCUAGCGAGACUGCCGGUAAUAAACCGGAGGAAGGUGGGGAUGACGUCAAAUCAUCAUGCCCCUUAUGACCUGGGCUACACACGUGCUACAAUGGUCGGUACAACGAGUUGCGAGCCGGUGACGGCAAGCUAAUCUCUGAAAGCCGAUCUCAGUUCGGAUUGGAGGCUGCAACUCGCCUCCAUGAAGUCGGAAUCGCUAGUAAUCGCGGAUCAGCACGCCGCGGUGAAUACGUUCCCGGGCCUUGUACACACCGCCCGUCACACCACGAGAGUUUGUAACACCCGAAGUCGGUGAGGUAACCUUUUAGGGGCCAGC